GGCAUCCCUGAUUUAUCCUUUCUCCGGUUGUUGUCUUCAAUAAAGAAAGAGAAAAAGAAAACCCACAAGAGUAAAUAAUUAAUAGACCUCUUCUGAAAUAUAGAAAACCCAGAAUUCAGAAACCCAGAAUCUUAAAAUUCUGAAAAUUAACAGGAGUCCAACUUCUAGUUGGAAUAUAUGCAUAUAUAUACACACACACAUACAUAUUACGUGUAUGUAUAUAUGCGUAUGUUUUUACAAGUCCAUAUAUAUAUAUAUAUAUAUAAAGGGAGAGGGCACCUGAAACUGUGAGUGUCCAAAAGAGAGUAGCAGGGGGAAGACUAUGAUGAGCAGAUGCACGUGUACACCAUCAACAGGAAAGAAGAAACACAAGAUAAAGGAAGAGGGAUUUUCUCCGCGGGUCAACACAGACUCACCUGAAAACCAGACGCCUCCUCCGACCCAGCGACUCCCCCCAGUGACAAUAUAUGUAUAUAUAUAUAUAUAUAUAUAGGUUACUACUUCAUGUUUUUACUUUCUUUUCAGCAAAUAUAUAUAUAUACACACACACACACACAUACACACAUAGUUUGGAACUCUGUAUUGUGUAUUAGAAAGUAGGUUAAUCAUUCAAGAUUGCAAUGAUUGAAAAUCUCGUAAAAAAGAAAAGGGAAAAUACAAUCAGGAGCCUCCUACAUAAGAAUUAAAUAUAAGCGAAUUAUAAAAUUAAAUCAGUUUUUUUUUUUUUUUUUUUUUUCAAAUAAAAAAGCUUCAUCUUCAAUAAUCGCGUCCAAUGAAAAAUUAGUAUGGUAUCAGUAAUUCUUACCCUUCCCUUGCAUAAAAUAUUCUGCUUGUCUCCACAUCCCCAAACAAAGUUACCUAGCUUCUAAAAGCAAACAGUGGUAGGAACAAAACCAGUCUACCAUGGAGAGCAACAAGACAACUCAAAUGAAGAAACUUAAUAACUAUAACAAAAUAUUUUACAUAUAUAAAUAUAUAUAUGAUGAAUGAUUUUAUAACAAUAUAUAUAAUACUAAGUGGUCAAUUUAUUCCACACUGUAAAUAUACUAGUAACUAAUGCAUCCAUAUAUCUACAUAUAUAUAUAUAUAUAUACACACACACACAAACAUUAAUGAACGAGCACAUAGAAUAAUAUUUUGGUUGAUUAACUCUCUUUUAUCGAAAGACUAGUUUCUUGUCCUUGUAUAUAUUCUACACUCAUUAUAUAUGUUUAUGUAUAUAUACAUGCACCGUAUAUAGAAUAUGGACAUACAAACAUAUAUAUAUGUGUGUAUUUGACUAGAGUAAUUACCCAGGCAAAGACAAUUAACAAUAAAACCCAAUACAUCAUGCAUCGAACAUUUUCUUCCUAGCGUUUCCACUAGCUACUUAAUUAGUUUGCUUGAUAAAAAUACAGACAUUACUAGAUAUAUAUAUAUAU
rnacentral:lncRNA from 1 species